UACGGGGGGGGCAAGCGUUGUUCGGAAUUACUGGGCGUAAAGGGCUCGUAGGCGGCCAACUAAGUCAGACGUGAAAUCCCUCGGCUUAACCGGGGAACUGCGUCUGAUACUGGAUGGCUUGAAUCCGGGAGAGGGAUGCGGAAUUCCAGGUGUAGCGGUGAAAUGCGUAGAUAUCUGGAGGAACACCGGUGGCGAAGGCGGGUCUCUGGGCCGAAAUUGACGCUGAGGAGCGAAAGCGUGGGGAGCAAACAGG
rnacentral:rRNA from 1 species